AUCCAAAUAAGAAUAUCAGUUCAGCUUUAAGUUUUCCAAAAAUAUAACCAAAUCAAAUGAAAACUUAAAACUUAAUCUAAAGGGGGACAGCUCUUUAAAAUAAGGAAACAACCUCUAACAGUGGGUAAAAAAUAAAAGCUCCAUAGUUGGCCUAAGAGCAGCCAUCAAUUAAGAAAGCGUUCAAGCUCGACAACCCAUAAAAUUUAUAAUACCAAUAAAACUUAAUGAACCCCUGAUAAACAAUUGGAUUAAUCUAUAUGUAUAUAGAAGAAAUAAUGUUAACAUUAGUAACAAGAAAUAAUUCUCCUCGCACAAGCUUAAAUCAUUCACACAUGAUUGUUAACAACUCAAUAAGACAAGACACCUCAUUAAUACUCUUAUUAGACUAAUUGUUAACCCGACACAGGAGUGCUACUCAGGAAAGACAAAACAAAGCAAAAGGAACUCGGCAAACACAAAUCCCGCCUGUUUACCAAAAACAUCACCUCUAGCAUACUUAGUAUUAGAGGCACUGCCUGCCCAGUGACAUUCGUUCAACGGCCGCGGUAUCCUGACCGUGCAAAGGUAGCAUAAUCACUUGUUCUUUAAAUAAGGACUAGUAUGAAUGGCAAGACGAGGGUUUAUCUGUCUCUUGCUUUACGUCAGUGAAAUUGAUCUUCCCGUGAAGAAGCGGGAAUAAUAUAAUAAGACGAGAAGACCCUAUGGAGCUUUAAUUUAUUAGCUUACUUAACCAAUUUUUAACCCAUAAGGGCAUAACACAUACACUUAAACCUAAGCUAAUAAUUUCGGUUGGGGUGACCUCGGAGUACAAUAAAACCUCCGAAUGAUAUUAGCCUAGAUCCAACAAAUCGAAGUUUAAAUCACCAAUUGACCCAAAUUCCUUUUGAUCAACGGACCAAGUUACCCUAGGGAUAACAGCGCAAUCCUAUUCUAGAGUUCAUAUCGACAAUGGGGUUUACGACCUCGAUGUUGGAUCAGGACAUCCUAAUGGUGCAGCAGCUAUUAAGGGUUCGUUUGUUCAACGAUUAAUAG
rnacentral:rRNA from 1 species